CGUGCAGGUGGUUUGGUAAGUUGGAUGUGAAAUCUCCCGGCUCAACUGGGAGGGGUCGUUCAAAACUGCUAGACUAGAGGACGGUAGAGGAAAGUGGAAUUCCCGGUGUAGUGGUGAAAUGCGUAGAUAUCGGGAGGAACACCAGUGGCGAAAGCGACUUUCUGGCCCGUUCCUGACACUAAGACGCGAAAGCUAGGGUAGCAAACG
rnacentral:rRNA from 1 species